rnacentral:rRNA from 1 species
CACGUAGGGUGCGAGCGUUGUCCGGAAUUAUUGGGCGUAAAGAGCUCGUAGGCGGUGUGUCGCGUCGGCCGUGAAAACUUGCAGCUUAACUGUGGGCGUGCGGUCGAUACGGGCAUCACUGGAGUUCGGCAGGGGAGACUGGAAUUCCUGGUGUAGCGGUGAAAUGCGCAGAUAUCAGGAGGAACACCGGUGGCGAAGGCGAGUCUCUGGACAUUUCCAGACGCUGAGGCACGAAAGCCAGGGGAGCAAACGGG